CACGUAGUUAGCCGGAGCUUAUAAAUAGUACCGUCAUUUAUUCUUCCUAUUCUUUCGAGGUUUACAUACCGAAAUACUUCAUCCCUCACGCGGCGUUGCUGGGUCAGGCUUUCGCCCAUUGCCCAAAAUUCCCGA
rnacentral:rRNA from 1 species